AUUUCGGUAUGGGAUGGGGAUGCGUUCCAUUAGUUAGUUGGCGGGGUAACGGCCCACCAAGACAACGAUGGAUAGGGGUUCUGAGAGGAAGGUCCCCCACAUUGGAACUGAGACACGGUCCAAACUCCUACGGGAGGCAGCAGUGAGGAAUAUUGGUCAAUGGACGAGAGUCUGAACCAGCCAAGUAGCGUGAAGGAUGACUGCCCUAUGGGUUGUAAACUUCUUUUAUAUGGGAAUAAAAUGUUCCACGUGUGGGAUUUUGUAUGUACCAUAUGAAUAAGGAUCGGCUAACUCCGUGCCAGCAGCCGCGGUAAUACGGAGGAUCCGAGCGUUAUCCGGAUUUAUUGGGUUUAAAGGGAGCGUAGGUGGAUUGUUAAGUCAGUUGUGAAAGUUUGCGGCUCAACCGUAAAAUUGCAGUUGAAACUGGCAGUCUUGAGUACAGUAGAGGUGGGCGGAAUUCGUGGUGUAGCGGUGAAAUGCUUAGAUAUCACGAAGAACUCCGAUUGCGAAGGCAGCUCACUGGACUGCAACUGACACUGAGGCUCGAAAGUGUGGGUAUCAAACAGGAUUAGAUACCCUGGUAGUCCACACAGUAAACGAUGAAUACUCGCUGUUUGCGAUAUACGGCAA
rnacentral:rRNA from 1 species